rnacentral:rRNA from 1 species
ACUUGAUCAUGGCUCAGGAUGAACGCUAGCGGCAGGCCUAAUACAUGCAAGUCGAGGGGCAGCGGGAGUAGCAAUACUUGCCGGCGACCGCAGACGGGUGCGUAACACGUAUACAAUCUGCCCAUAUCAGGGGAAUAGCCCGGAGAAAUUCGGUAUAAUACCCCAUAAUAGUAGAAGAGGCAUCUCUUUUAUUUGAAAGCUACGGUAUGAUAUGGAUGAGUAUGCGUCUGAUUAGUUAGUUGGUGCCGGUAACGGCUCACCAAGACCACGAUCAGUAGGGGAUCUGAGAGGACUACCCCCCACACGUAUACUGAGACACGGAUAAACUCCUACGGGAGGCAGCAGUAAGGAAUAUUGGACAAUGCCCGCAAGGGUGAUCCAGCCAUGCCGCGUGCAGGAAGAAGGCCCUAUGGGUCGUAAACUGCUUUUACACCGGAGAAAAUAUCCCCUCGUGAGGGUACCUGAUAGUAUGGUGAGAAUAAGCAUCGGCUAACUUCGUGCCAGCAGAACGGUAAGACGAAAGGUAUGCACCCGUUAUCCGGAUUCAUUGGGUUUAAAGGGAGCGUAGGCGGUCUUAUAAGUCAGUGGGUGAAAGCCUAGAGCUUAACUCUAGAAUUGCCAUUGAUACUGUAGGACUUGAGUAUAGUUGCUGUGGGCGGAAUAUGACAUGUAGUGGUGAAAUACUUAGAGAUGUCAUAGAACACCGAUUGCGUAGGCAGCUCACAAAACUAUAACUGACGCUGAGGCUCGAAAGUGCGGGGAUCAAACAGGAUUAUACACCCUGGUCAUCCGCACUGUAAACGAUGAUUACUCGUUGCUUGGGAAGCAGAUUUUCAGUGACUAAGCGAAUUCGAUAAGUAAUCCACCUGGGGAAUACGCCGGCAACGGUGAAACUCAAAGGAAUUGACGGGCCGCCCGCACAAGCGGAGGAGCAUGUAUUUUAAUUCGAUGAUACGCGAGGAACCUUACCAGGGCUUGAAAGUUAGUGACCGUUCCUGAAAGGGAGCUUUCCGCAAGGACACGAACUAGGUGCUGCAUGGCUGUCGUCAGCUCGUGCCGUGAGGUGUUGGUAUAAGUCCCGCAACGAGCGCAACCCCUACCAUUAGUUGCCAGCGAGUCAAGUCGGGGAUACUAGUGGAUUGCCCGCGCAAGCGGUGAGGUAGGUGGGGAUGACGUCAAGUCCAGCACGGCCCUUACGUCCUGGGCUACACAUGUGCUACAAUGGCUAUUACAGAGGGCAGCUACAUAGUAAUAUGAUGCCAAUCUUCAAAAAUAAUCCCUCAGUUCGGAUUGAGGUCUGCAACUCGACCUCAUGAAGCUGGAUUCUAUUAGUAAUCGCGUAUCAGCAAUGGCGCGGUAAAUACGUUUCGGGCCUUGUACACACCGCCCUAAAGCCAUGAAAGCUGGGAGUAUUUAAAGUCGGUUAUGCAAGGCGCCGCCUAGAGUAAAACCCAGAUUGGGGCUUAU